rnacentral:rRNA from 1 species
GAUGAACGCUGGCGGCGUGCCUAAUACAUGCAAGUCGAGCGAACAGACGAGGAGCUUGCUCCUCUGACGUUAGCGGCGGACGGGUGAGUAACACGUGGAUAACCUACCUAUAAGACUGGGAUAACUUCGGGAAACCGGAGCUAAUACCGGAUAAUAUAUUGAACCGCAUGGUUCAAUAGUGAAAGACGGUUUUGCUGUCACUUAUAGAUGGAUCCGCGCCGCAUUAGCUAGUUGGUAAGGUAACGGCUUACCAAGGCAACGAUGCGUAGCCGACCUGAGAGGGUGAUCGGCCACACUGGAACUGAGACACGGUCCAGACUCCUACGGGAGGCAGCAGUAGGGAAUCUUCCGCAAUGGGCGAAAGCCUGACGGAGCAACGCCGCAUGAGUGAUGAAGGUCUUCGGAUCGUAAAACUCUGUUAUUAGGGAAGAACAAAUGUGUAAGUAACUAUGCACGUCUUGACGGUACCUAAUCAGAAAGCCGCCGCUAACUACGUG